rnacentral:rRNA from 1 species
AUCGAACGCUGGCGGCAGGCCUAACACAUGCAAGUCGAGCGGUUGAAGGGAGCUUGCUCCUGGAUUCAGCGGCGGACGGGUGUGUAAUGCCUAGGAAUCUGCCUGGUCGUUGGGGAUAACGUCCGGAAACGGGCGCUAAUCCCGCUAACGCCCUGAGGCGGAAAGUGGGGGAUCUUCGGACCCCACGCUAUCAGAUGAGCCUAGGUCGGAUUAGCUAGUUGGUGGGGUAAUGGCCUACCAAGGCGACGAUCCGUAACUGGUCUGAGAGGGUGACCAGGCACAGAGAAGGUGAGAGACGGUCCAGGGACUGAGGGGCGGCAGAGGUGGCGAAGAUAGGAAGAAGGGCGGAAGACUGAACAAGCGGUGCCGGGUGUGUGAAGAAGGUCUUCGGAUUGGAAAGCGGUUUAAGUUGGGAGGAAGGGCAGUACGUUAAUACCUUGCUGUUUGGACGUUACCAAAAGAGUAAGCACCGGCUAACUUCGU